rnacentral:rRNA from 1 species
CACGCAUGACACACUGCAUAUCAAUAAGCGGAGGAAAAGAAACUAACUAAGGAUUCCCCUCAGUAACGGCGAGUGAAGCGGGAAGAGCUCAAAUUUGAAAUCUUCAAGGUUCUACCUUGACGAAUUGUAGUUUAAAGAAGUGUUUUCUGUUGGAGUUUUGGUAAAAGUUCUUUGGAAUAGGACAUCAUAGAGGGUGAGAAUCCCGUAUUUGACCAUUAUUUCCAGCUGUGUGAUACACUUUCAAAGAGUCGGAUUGUUUGGGAAUGCAGUCCAAAAUGGGUGGUAAAUUUCAUCUAAAGCUAAAUACUGGCGAGAGACCGAUAGCGAACAAGUACCGUGAGGGAAAGAUGAAAAGAACUUUGAAAAGAGAGUUAAACAGUACGUGAAAUUGUCAAAAGGGAAGCGUUUGACACCAGUGUUGUUUUCUCGAAAAUCAAUUAAAAAUGGUGGGAUUUUGUGUUGUAUUGACUUUAUCAGCUUUCUGCACUUUUUUCCUAUCUUUUUUAAUGCACUUUUCGUUUAACAAGUCAACAUCAAUUUCUUUUGCUGUAAAAGAGUCAUUGGAAGGUGGCUUUCUUUUCGGAGAAAGUGUUUAUAGCCUUUGACUUCUGCAGUCGGAGAGAUUGAGGUCUGCAGCGUAGAUCCUUCGGGGUUAGAUACAUUUGUGCUAAGCUAUAGCCUUUCAUAGACAACUUGUUGACUAUGAUCAGUCAUGUAGCUUACUCGCUUAUGCUAUUUUACCUACGCUUAGGAUGUUGAACUACUGAGACAUAGA